AACAAGGAUUCCCCUAGUAACUGCGAGUGAAGCGGGAAAAGCUCAAAUUUAAAAUCUGACAGUCUCUGGCUGCCCGAGUUGUAAUCUAGAGAAGCGUUAUCCGCGCUGGACCGUGUAUAAGUCUCCUGGAAUGGAGCGUCAUAGAGGGUGAGAAUCCCGUCUUUGACACGGACUCCCAGGGCUUUGUGAUGUGCUCUCAAAGAGUCGAGUUGUUUGGGAAUGCAGCUCUAAAUGGGUGGUAAAUUCCAUCUAAAGCUAAAUAUUGGCGAGAGACCGAUAGCGAACAAGUACCGUGAGGGAAAGAUGAAAAGAACUUUGGAAAGAGAGUUAAACAGUACGUGAAAUUGUUGAAAGGGAAACGCUUGAAGUCAGUCGCGUUGGCCAGGGAUCAACCUUGCUUUUGCUUGGUGUACUUUCUGGUUUAACGGGUCAGUAUCAAUUUUGACCAGUGGAAAAAGAUUAGGGGAAUGUGGCAUCUUCGGAUGUGUUAUAGCCUCUGAUUGUAUACGUUGGUUGGGAUUGAGGAACUCAGCAUGCCGCAAGGCCGGGUUUUUACUACGCUCAUGCUUAGGAUGCUGGCAUAAUGGCUU
rnacentral:rRNA from 1 species